GAGGUGUAUGAGUUUUCUUUAUGUGUGCUUUGGAGAGGAACCUCACGGGCAGGGGUACCCGUCUCCUCAGUGUUUCUGUAGAGCUGCUGUCCACAGCGUGGCAGCCGCUGUCCAGAGGGAGCCAUUUAUGCUUCAUUGAAUUCAGCCAGUAGUUAGGUCUGCCUCUGGCAGUGAACAGAAGAAAGCAGCCAAGGGUUCACUCCCCCGAGCCAGCACGCAAGGGUGUCCGUGCAGCUGGACUUUCAGGUGUGUCACGCUGGGGCUGAGGCCUCCGGAGGACUCCUAGAAGGGAGGCGUGCGUGUAAAGCGCCAUCCCUCAGCAGCCCACGACCUCGGACGGUUUGCCACUGUGGCCAGUGUUUUAUUGAUGCUUCUGAGGCCAUAGAGCACGCACGGGGAAGUUCUGAGCACACGGAGGACAAGCCAGGGCGGUGCUGUGUGGCCGCAGUCAACCCUAAGUAGGGUCCGAGUGGGGGACGGUCGCUAACACCUCGAUUCCUCAUGUCUGUGUUUCUGCAGCUUGGAGCUUGGAGAGUGUGUGUGAGAGCGACCUCGCUGACAGCAACCUCGCAGAAAGUGAUCGAGACUCGGUGGCGGAGCGCACCGACUGCCGCCAGGAUGAGGAGGCUGCAGACUGUUGCUUUGGGAGCAAAGGAUCGUGCUUCAAAAGUCUGAGGACAAGUUUGUCCUCUGCGAGCUUGGCUAGAAUAAUUCCCCGGUGGCCACACAACAGGGUGCACCUUGCCACUGAGCCAGAUGAAGGAACUCACGACGACGAUGUUGUGGAGGCCGGUGGGAGUGAGAAGACCGAGGCAAAGCCCCGGGCUGGGGGACAUGAGGACGAGGCGGCCCCAGUACCUGAGGUGGAGGGGAGGAGGAGGCGGGCCAGCCCCGUGAAAAUGGCCAGGAGGAGUCCUAGCCAUCGCCUGGGCUGAGCCGGAAGACGAGCCUGGCCCCAAGGUAAGCUCACCUUUCUUGAUGUGAGGUUGGAAAAGGUGCCUCCUUUCUUCUUGAUGUACCUCCUUCAGAAAUGGAAAUCUGAGAAAGUCCACUGUAGAUGAUAUAUGCAGAUUGCUGUGCGGAGGACUGUUGAGUCCAAGUUUGGUACCAAGCAGUAGCUCCUUCCCCGGGGCAUUUGCAAAAGGGACCGCAUCAGUUCCCAAGUGUGCAGUAGGGAGCAUAUGUCUUUGAAGAAGCCGGAAUGUUGUUUGUCUGUUUGUCUUUUUUGCCUUUUCUAGGCCCCUCCCGCGGCAUAUGGAGAUGAGGUUCCCAGGCUAGGGGUCUGAUCGGAGCUGUAGCCACCGGCCUACGCCAGAGCCACAGCAACGUGGGAUCCGAGCCUCGUCUGCCACCUACACCACAGCUCAGGGCAGCGCCGGAUACUUCACCCACUGAGCAAGGCCAGGGAUCGAACCCGCAACCUCAUGGUUCUUGGUCGAUUCGUUAACCACUGUGCCCCGAUGGAAGUCCAAAGAAGCCUGAAAGUUUGUUAAAAUGUACGAGGACUUGGGAGAUCUUCCAUGAAAAGCUGGCGCCUUUUCCAAAGGGGUCUUCGCCGUGUUCUUUGGGGAAACGGACUCAACGCUGCCUCUGUCUGCGUGCCUGCGGUCCCCAACGGCAGGAAGACCUGUGGCCGCAGUGCAGAGGAUGCUGUGACACUCACCGUGUUUCUCUGUCUCAUCACAGGUGGACGGGGCGGACGAUGAAAUCUGUGAGUAUUCUGGAGCCCGGCUGUGCUGAGGAGAAGUCCAGGUGUUGAGGAAAUGGGGG
rnacentral:lncRNA from 9 species